UGUGGGAGCUGGCUUGCCUGCGACAGCGGUGUGUCAGUUUGCAGAUAAAUUGGCUGACCUGCCCUCAUCGCAGGCAAGCCAGCUCCCACA
rnacentral:misc_RNA from 1 species